rnacentral:rRNA from 1 species
GAGAAGUUUUCGGAUGGAUCUCGGGAUAGUUUAGUGGCGGACGGGUGAGUAACACGUGAGCAACCUACCUUCGAGAGGGGAAUAACGGCUGGAAACGGUCGCUAAUACCGCAUAACAUACUGGAGGGACAUCUCUUUGGUAUCAAAGAUUAUAUCGCUCGGAGAUGGGCUCGCGUCCGAUUAGGUAGUUGGUGAGGUAACGGCUCACCAAGCCGACGAUCGGUAGCCGGACUGAGAGGUCGAACGGCCACAUUGGGACUGAGACACGGCCCAGACUCCUACGGGAGGCAGCAGUGGGGGAUAUUGCACAAUGGGGGAAACCCUGAUGCAGCGACGCCGCGUGUGGGAAGACGGUCCUCUGGAUUGUAAACCACUGUCCCCAGGGACGAAGAUGACGGUACCUGGGGAGGAAGCUCCGGCUAACUACGUGCCAGCAGCCGCGGUAAUACGUAGGGAGCGAGCGUUGUCCGGAAUUACUGGGUGUAAAGGGAGCGUAGGCGGGACUGCAAGUUGGGUGUCAAAUCUACCGGCUCAACCGGUAGCCGCACUCAAAACUGCAGUUCUUGAGUGAAGUAGAGGCAGGCGGAAUUCCUAGUGUAGCGGUGAAAUGCGUAGAUAUUAGGAGGAACACCAGUGGCGAAGGCGGCCUGCUGGGCUUUUACUGACGCUGAGGCUCGAAAGUGUGGGGAGCAAACA